UUUCUGUUAAUGCAGCCAUGGUUACAGGGCAGUGAAUUAUUCUUUCCAUGGAGUGGACGUGUUUGACUAAGAUAAUAUUUUUCACUAGUGUGUGUUGUUAUUCUGCUGCCAUGAAGUUUUUAACCCAGACACUAUGUCUUUGAUGAUCCAAUUGAUACGGUCUCCUAUGGCUAUGGACACUUGAUAAGUACUCAGCCAAUUUUGGAUCUUUUCCUUAGACAGUGCCAUUAAUGCUCCUCUACAUCUGAUCUUCUAGCUACAUAGAUAUUUCGGUUAUCACAACUUGUUUUUUUUGUUU
rnacentral:lncRNA from 1 species